rnacentral:lncRNA from 1 species
GCAAAACAGGGUGUGAGAACUAAACAAAGUUCCCAGUGGGUUCGGCCGUCGACCCCGCCGAUUUUUCCACUAGGUUUAAGAAAGGCAUAGAAACAAUAAAGAGGUCAACAUGUCAAAGGAAUAAUAGAUAUAACAUUAAGCCUACCCUGCUCAUCUACAUCUAUAUCAUGUUCAAAUGUGUAGCUAUGCCUUUACUAAUCAUGUCAACAAGUAUAAGUUUAAGUUCUUCCAUAUAUGCAAACUAUAUAUGAAAUGCCAUGAUCAUGCCUUGUGCCAAAUCCAAUCGAUUCGCCCGAAGGUCGAACCACUCGCCACACACUGUCACGGGACCGUGACGUCUGAUGGGAGAGGCCCCCCGUUAUAUUCGCAAUAGUGAUAUAACUCCGUAGCUCACUGCUUGGGAGGCGCGACCAUCCACAAGCUAUAACAGACAACGUGAGUAUGAUCAAGUCUUCCCACCCGAGGACCGCGGGAAUACCACAUCCCUAUCCAUCUCAAGGCAUGCCAUGCUCAUGUCGGCCACAUAUGCAAUGGUUUCCAAUUCUGACAAUAUCAUUGGUUCACAUACUAGUUUCUCAUGAAUCUAGUCUAUUCUCACAUCAUAUCCACAUGCAUAUGUCCACUAGCAACUCAUACAACAUGUAUAAAUAUCUAUAUUGGCAUUGUCACGCCCCGAGACCGAUGCCAAUUUGGCCCGACCCGAGCACGUCAAACAGACGCCGAACGGACAGAGUUUCCCCUGUCCGCCCAAGGCUCAUCACAUGUACAAAAUUCAAACAAGAAUUGCACUAGCGGAAACAUACACAAACGGCUUACACGAGGGUAAGCAAUAGCCAUUAGUGAAAGAUAGGAAAACUAAACUUCUACACAAGUAAUAUGAUUCAUUUUAGAUCAUAUACAUUGCAUCCAUCUCUUAAAAUAGGAUUCUUUGCAUUUCAUUACAUAAUUUCAUCAUUUCUUUCUUACAUCACACUUACCUCAAAAUAAGCUUUACAUUCUUUUCUUUACAUCACUAUCAUCAAGUACAAAAGAUGAUAAAAGGGUGUCUACUAACAAAAUGUAAACCCAACUCUGGUGGCCUCUGACUACGGCGCGAUACCUUUACCUCGGUCGCUCGCCGGCUCGCUCGGUCCCGGCUCUGUGGAAAUAGUGGGGUGAGAACUACAACAAAGUUCCCAGUGGGUUCGGCCUCAACAUCACCGACUUUCCCACUAGGACUAACUCAGGCAUAAUAGAAAGGAUAAACAGGAUAUAGUAACCAAUCUAUAACAUGAUGCUAAUAUGCCCGAACAGAUAGCAAGAAAUAUGCUCAACAUUAAAUAAAUGUAGAUUAUGCAAACUCAUUCGUUCUUUGACUUUACUUUGUACUUUGUUCUUUAUUCUUUGCUCUUUGUUCUUUGUUCUUUAAUCAUUAAGGCUAACCCGGGGGCUUCGCCACAUUAACUUGCUUCACAUUAAGUCCAUCAUCGUAGGAACUCACCAGCUAGGACCGUCCUUUCGGGUCUACUGCAACCCGGAUGCAUAACUCCGGAGCGCAUCGCCCGAGGGGGAGCGACCGCCCUCGAGCACGGAACUCAUAGCAAGCAUGAUCAUAUCCUUAACUCAAAGGAUUUAUAAGUUCAAUCUUGACUUUACACUAGCUCUAGUGUUCAUUAUAUCGCUUUAUGUUGCAAACUCAUGCAAUCACAUUUUCUUUUGCCUUCUUUACUUUGCUAACUCUAGCAUUCAUAUUCCCUACAUCACUUUGGUUCUUUAGAUCACACUAAUUCAAGUGUCGCUUUACUUUGACAUUAUCCUUUUCAUCAUUCUUUACAUCACUUUGGUUCUUUGCCUCACACUAACUCUAGUGUCUCUUUACUUUACAUUUUCAAAUGCCACUCGAUCUAUGUCAUUGUGCCACUCUGUUCUUUUGCUCACUUUGGGUACUCACAUUUUCUCUCAUGCAUACAUCUAGGGUUUUGACAUCAUUAGGUUCUCAACCAUCUCAUUAUGCAAGUUGUGCUCACAAUCAUGCAAUCAUCACAUUUCAUCAUUACUUUACCCUAAAAUGCAUGCAACAAUAUAUAGAACAUAUGCUCAAAGAAUGACACAUUAGGCAUAGAGAGAAUUUCAAUGAGUUUGAAAAGCACCACCCACCUCGUAGGCUUUCAAAGGUGCUCCGAUGAUUUUCUUGGGAUUUUUAGAUGCUUCGUUCUUUACCUGCGGCAAAACGAACCCUUAUUAGGCCAUUUUGCCCAUAACUUUACUUUGACUUUUCGUAACGUUAAUCCGAGCGCACCAACGCGUCGGAAAUACCCCCAAUUAGGUUUUUAGAGGGUCAAUUGCACUUAGAAACCCUCAUGAGCAAAAGCCCCAAUUUGGUGCCCUAGCUCCAAUACACAUGUCAAACCUAGGGUUUGAUCUCAAAGAGAAGCAAAAAUAGCUUCAUUAUACUCUAAAAAGUUCAUUAGAACCAUCUUUAGACAAAUCAAAACCCUACUUAGGGUUUCACCAUGAGAGGUGAUGAAGCUCACCUCAAGCUUCACCAUUUCUAUGGUCUUGAUCUCAAAAGAAGCAAAAGAAAAGCUUCAAAUACUCAAAUGGUUCCAUAAAACCCAUUUCAAGCUUAAUCCAAACCCUAGAUUAGGUUCUACCAUGAUUAGGGUUCAAAGCUUACCUUGUAAGCCCUUCUUUUCCAAGCUAGAGAUGAGGGAGAGGGAGUUUCUUCACUUCCUCUUCUUCUUCUCCUUUUUCUUCUCCUUCUUUUCCUUCCUUUCCUUGUCUUCUUCUUCUCCUUUGUCUUCUAGAGAGAGAGGGAGAGAAGAGAGUGUGAGAGGGUGAGAAUGAGAGAAAUGUCUCAUUUACCCCAAUACUAUUCUCAAUGGGUUGCAAAAUUGCAGCUAAACCCCUCAACUUUCACUUUAAUACACUGCCCGAACUGGGCAGUUCGCGCAGGCAGGGACCGGUCUCUCCCUUUAGGGACCGGUUCCCGAACGUUGUCCCAGCGCAGCCAGAGCUGCUGCGCGCAGUGCAACCGGUCUCUCUCUGUGGGACCGGUCUCUCGGGGACCGGUCUCUCAGGCAGGGAUCGGUUCCCGAGAGCUACUUUCUCAGGACUUAGCCGAUUUUCCGGCUGUCUCAUUUCAUACGCAUUCGGGGACCGGUCUCUCCCACUAGGGACCGGUCCCCGAGAGCUGAAAAUCUGCAGUUUUGCAGAAUUUGAUUCUUUAGCUCUCGAAAACCUUCCACCACUCACUUUUGAUCACUUUAACACCUUCGGACUCUCCGAAGUGUUCCAUCCUCGCACUUUGGUCAAUUCGACUAAAGUUCGACCUUUUUAUUUUCCGAAUUUACGGUAUAUUACAGGCAUCAUAUAAAAGUUCUCAUGCAACAUAUAUGUCCACAUCUAUCUCAACAUCAUGCAAAUAGAUAUUCCUACAAGUAUCAUGCAAUCAUGGAUCAUUAUUCCUCACACUAAGCAUGAAAUUACCACAACUCAUAGGAUUCUCACUAUUCUAUACAUUAUGAUAUAUGAUCAAUAAUAGUAGAACUUAGACAUAGAAUGAAACUCGGCUAAUUCGGAUAGCACCCCCAACUCGUGGCGUCGACACGAAGCGGGUAGCCUAGCAGCGCGAUUUAUGGCCGUCGAUUUCUUCCGACUCAAACCCAAGCUCUCUUCAAGCCAAUGGUGAAGAAGAAGAAAGCUUCACCUCCAAGUAAGCUUCUUCCACCAAAUCUCCACUAUUGGAGCAAAACUCUAGGAGAGAGAGAGGUUUAGAGAGAGAAAAAGAAGGUUUCUCUUUUGGUUUAAGUAGUGGAGAAUGAGAGAAAAGGCUCAAGUCCCUUAUAUAUAUAGGAAACUUCACCUCCAAGUAAACCCUUCACUUACACAUAAGAAACUUCACCUCCAAGUAAACCCUUCACUUACACAUAGGAAACUUCACCUCCAAGUAAACCCUUCACUUACACAUAGGAAACUUCUUUAAGUCCAAUAAAAAUAGUAUCUUACACUAUUUUUAUUUACACUUACUUCUAUAUUAAAAAUUCGAUACACUACAUUAAGGCUCUCUUAUAUUUACAUCACAUUGCCUUUUUACAUUUUUCCCAAAAUGAAUACAUAAUCAUUUUUC